rnacentral:rRNA from 1 species
AUGGAAGCAGAAUUAACUGCUUUGGACACAGCUACUGUUGAGGCAGAAUGGCUGCGUGAGCUCUUGAUGGACUUGCCGGUUGUUGAAAAACCUGUACCGGCUAUUCUUAUGAAUUGUGAUAACCAAACGGUUAUCGCUAAAGUGAACAAUUCUAAAGAUAAUGCAAAGUCAUCAAGACACGUGAAAAGACGUUUGAAGUCUGUCAGGAAGUUGAGAAACUCCGGAGUAAUAACUGUUACGUAUAUACAAAUAGACAAAAACCUGGCAGAUCCCUUUACAAAGGGACUAUCACAAAAUGUGAUAGAUAUUGCAUCGAGGGAGAUGGGUAUGAGACCCAUA